CCUACGGGAGGCAGCAGUGGGGGAUAUUGCACAAUGGGGGGAACCCUGAUGCAGCGACGCCGCGUGGGUGAAGGAGCGUUUCGGCGCGUAAAGCCCUAUCGGCAGGGAAGAAGCUGACGGUACCUGACCAAGAAGCCCCGGCUAACUACGUGCCAGCAGCCGCGGUAAUACGUAGGGGGCAAGCGUUAUCCGGAUUUACGGGGUGGAAAGGGGGCGCAGACGGCAAUGCAAGCCAGGAGUGAAAGCCCGGGGCCCAACCCCGGGACUGUUCUUGGAACUGCAUGGCUGGAGUACAGGAGGGGCAGGCGGAAUUCCUAGUGUAGCGGUGAAAUGCGUAGAUAUUAGGAGGAACACCGGUGGCGAAGGCGGCCUGCUGGACUGUGACUGACGUUGAGGCCCGAAGGCGUGGGGAGCAAACAGGAUUAGAUACCCGAGUAGUC
rnacentral:rRNA from 1 species